GGACUACUAGGGUUUCUAAUCCCGUUCGCUCCCCAUGCUGUCGUGUCUGAGCGUCAGUUGUGAGCCAGGACGCCGCCUUCGCCUCUGGGGUUCCUCCGGAUCUCUACGCAUUUCACCACUACACCCGGAAUUCCACGUCCCUCUCUCACACUCUAGAUAGACAGUCUGGCAUAACAUAUCCCGGUUAAGCCGAAACCUUUCAUACACCACUUGUCCAUCCGCCUGCACACGCUUUACGCCCAGUAAAUCCGGAUAACGCUCGCCACCUACGUUUUACCGCGGCGGCUGGCAC
rnacentral:rRNA from 1 species